rnacentral:tRNA from 1 species
GGCCUGGUAGCCAAGUAGUAAGGCGUUCCUCUGCAAAAGGAAUAUACGCGGGUGCGAUUCCCGCCCAGGCCU